GGGAAGCCAGUUCCAGAAAGCAGGGGAACGGUGGCCAAAAACAAUCUCGGAGAGCAACAGUGGUAUAGUCAGCACCUUAGGAGGUGCAUCUUGGUCCAAAGGCAAGCACAGCAGGAGAUGAAGAGAUGGGUUGGUGGUUGUAGAGAAGCUGGAAUGUAUCCUACUAUACAAAGGUGACUUCGUGUUCCUUGGAAGGUCCAUUCAGCUUUGGCAAGGGCACAGCUAAUAGACUCUCCGGUGUCAUGGGACGCCCUUGACCCAUUCCAUCAACACCAUUCAGUAGAGGAUUAUGGAAGACAGCCAGGAGACAGAUGUCACGUUUUACCCUUUGUUCGUGCAAUUUCCUUUGCCCUCUUUUAUCGUGAUUGCUGAUGACAAGAUGUGUUAUUGCAUGUUGAAUAACCAGGGCUGUAGCUACUUGGCAAGAUAAUGCAAAAUAAAACAAAUAGCAGCUAUAGAAUUGCAAAACCAAAUUUUCCAAAAUUGUUUGAAGCAUUUUCUGCAUGUAGUGGAGACCUACCAGGAGUUUCUCACAGAAGCCUCUGUUACAUAUAUCUUCAGAAAGGGGGAAUUCACAAACUUAAACUGUUCAGGUUUGAUCUGGUAAAGAAUCAUCAGCUGUAUUUAUUUAAGUACUGAAUUGCAACUCUAUUUAUUUUUAGAAUAUCCUCUUACUGAAAUGCUUAGUUGGAGCAUAGCUAAACAAUUGCCGUCAACUGCAAGUGUGUUGUUUGGGUGAUGCAUUACGAACCUCAGUGAUGA